rnacentral:rRNA from 1 species
UACAGAGGUCCCAAGCGUUGUUCGGAUUCAUUGGGCGUAAAGGGUGCGUAGGCGGUGGGGUAAGUUGGAUGUGAAAUCUUGGGGCUUAACCUCAAAAUUGCAUUCAAUACUGCUCUGCUCGAGUUCUGUAGAGGAGAUUGGAAUUUACGGUGUAGCAGUGAAAUGCGUAAAUAUCGUAAGGAACGCCAGUGGCGAAAGCGAAUCUCUGGGCAGCAACUGACGCUGAGGCACGAAGGCCAGGGGAGCAAACGGG